rnacentral:piRNA from 1 species
UGCGGCUGUAGCACCGGCUGGAAAGUGUCUU